UGACUCCUACGGGGGGCAGCAGUGAGGAAUAUUGGUCAAUGGUCGGGAGACUGAACCAGCCAAGCCGCGUGAGGGAGGAAGGUACAGAGUAUCGUAAACCUCUUUUGUCAGGGAACAAAGGCGGGGACGUGUUCCCGGAUGAGUGUACCUGAAGAAAAAGCAUCGGCUAACUCCGUGCCAGCAGCCGCGGUAAUACGUAGGUGGCGAGCGUUAUCCGGAAUGAUUGGGCGUAAAGGGUGC
rnacentral:rRNA from 1 species